UUGUGGAGGAGGACGCCGAAGGUGGGGCUAAUGACUGGGGUGAAGUCGUAACAAGGUAGCCGUACCGGAAGGUGCGGCUGGAUCACCUCCUAACAGGGAGACAACAAAAUGUUUAAUAUUAUUAUUUUGUCACCUUAGGUCGAUCGGUAUCUCACGUUUUUAAUUUAUUAAGAAUUUCAUUUCCUAAGUUUUUCUAGGUCACACCCAUUAUUUUUCCUGGGCCAUUAGCUCAGGUGGUUAGAGCGCACCCCUGAUAAGGGUGAGGUCCCUGGUUCAAGUCCAGGAUGGCCCAUAUCUCUAUGUUGGGGGUAUAGCUCAGUUGGUAGAGCGCCUGCUUUGCAAGCAGGAUGUCAGCGGUUCGAGUCCGCUUACCUCCACUGAUCACCACCUCUUCCAUAAUCGGUACAAAGGAAAUUUUUUGAGUUGUGAUCAAAUUCUGAAAGAAUCUAGCUUCCUAAUGAAAUCAUUAAGAUGCUGGACUCAUUGAAUUAAUUUCAUUGUUUUCAGAGAACCUUGACAACUGCAUAGAUUAUUUUUAAAGACAAUAAGCAUCUUUAAUGAUGCAGAUUUAUUAUUUGUGCAAAUGCAUUAAUAACAAUUCUAUUAAGCUGAUGCUUCAAUAUUUGAAGUUAUUGGUCAAGCUACAA
rnacentral:misc_RNA from 1 species